AUGAACGCUGGCGGCGUGCCUAAUCCCUGCAAGUAGAACGCUGAAGGAGGAGCUUGCUCUUCUGGAUGAGUUGCGAACGGGUGAGUAACGCGUAGGUAACCUGCCUGGUAGCGGGGGAUAACUAUUGGAAACGAUAGCUAAUACCGCAUGACAACAGUUAUUGCAUGAUAACUGUUUAAAAGGGGCAACUGCUCCACUACCAGAUGGACCUGCGUUGUAUUAGCUAGUUGGUGAGGUAACGGCUCACCAAGGCGACGAUACAUAGCCGACCUGAGAGGGUGAUCGGCCACACUGGGACUGAGACACGGCCCAGACUCCUACGGGAGGCAGCAGUAGGGAAUCUUCGGCAAUGGACGGAAGGCUGACCGAGCAACGCCGCGUGAGUGAAGAAGGUUUUCGGAUCGUAAAGCUCUGUUGUAAGAGAAGAACGAGUGUGAGAGUGGAAAGUUCACACUGUGACGGUAUCUUACCAGAAAGGGACGGCUAACUACGUG
rnacentral:rRNA from 1 species